CGCCAGUAGCUCAGUUGGAUAGAGCAACGGCCUUCUAAGCCGUGGGUCAGGGGUUCGAGUCCCUUCUGGCG
rnacentral:tRNA from 1 species